GGUUGCAAUCGUCUCAUUAUCAACUCUGACAACAUGAAAUUCAUUGACACAAUGAAGAAUGGAGAACAUUCUGCAGGAGCGGCGACUGCUAUCUUUGAGGAUUGUUUUUUUUUUUUGGCUUGUGAUUUUCCAAUUACAACUUUCGAACAUUGUAAUGGAGAAGCGAACAAGGUAGCUCAUGAGCUUGCUAGAUUAGCAAAAUGUUCUAUGGCCAGGGAUUGGAUAGAGGAGCCCACAGAUAAUAUUGUAUGUCUUCUAAUAGACGAUGUAACCUUUAUUUCUAAACAAUAA
rnacentral:rRNA from 1 species